rnacentral:rRNA from 1 species
GACGAACGCUGGCGGCGUGCUUAACACAUGCAAGUCGAACGGAAGGGCCCUGCUUUUUUGGGGUGCUCGAGUGGCGAACGUGUGAGUAACACGUGAUUCACCUGCCCUUGACUUUGGGAUAACUUCAGGAAACUGGUGCUAAUACCGGAUAGGAGCUCCUUCUGCAUGGUUGGGGUUGUAAAGUUUCGGCGGUUGGGGAUGGACUCGCGGCUUUUCAGCUUGUUGGUGGGGUAGUGGCUUACCAAGGCUUUGACGGGUCGCCGGCCUGAGAGGGUGACCGGGCAAAUUGGGACUGAGAUACGGCGCAGACUGCUACGGGAAGCAGCAGGGGGGAAUAUUGAACAAGGGGCGGAAGCCUGAUGCAGCAAAGCCGCGUGCGGGAGGAGGGACUUCGAGUUGUAAACCGCUUUCGCCUGUGACGAAGCGUGAGUGACGGUAAUGGGUAAAGAAGCACCGGCUAACUACGUG